rnacentral:rRNA from 1 species
GGGUUGUGAGGUUAAGCGACUAAGCGUACACGGUGGAUGCCCUGGCAGUCAGAGGCGAUGAAGGACGUGCUAAUCUGCGAAAAGCGCCGGCGAGGUGAUAUGAACCUUUGACCCGGCGAUGUCCGAAUGGGGAAACCCAGUGCAAUCCGUUGCACUAUCGUUUGAUGAAUACAUAGUCAAACGAGGCGAACCGGGGGAACUGAAACAUCUAAGUACCCCGAGGAAAAGAAAUCAACCGAGAUUCCCCCAGUAGCGGCGAGCGAACGGGGAGCAGCCCAGAGCCUGAAUCAGCUUGUGUGUUAGUGGAAGCGUCUGGAAAGUCGCGCGAUACAGGGUGACAGCCCCGUACACGAAAGCACACAGGUUGUGAGCUCGAUGAGUAGGGCGGGACACGUGGUAUCCUGUCUGAAUAUGGGGGGACCAUCCUCCAAGGCUAAAUACUCCUGACUGACCGAUAGUGAACCAGUACCGUGAGGGAAAGGCGAAAAGAACCCCGGCGAGGGGAGUGAAAAAGAACCUGAAACCGUGUACGUACAAGCAGUGGGAGCCUCUUAAUGGGGUGACUGCGUACCUUUUGUAUAAUGGGUCAGCGACUUAUAUUCUGUAGCAAGGUUAACCGAAUAGGGGAGCCGAAGGGAAACCGAGUCUUAACUGGGCGUUAAGUUGCAGGGUAUAGACCCGAAACCCGGUGAUCUAGCCAUGGGCAGGUUGAAGGUUGGGUAACACUAACUGGAGGACCGAACCGACUAAUGUUGAAAAAUUAGCGGAUGACUUGUGGCUGGGGGUGAAAGGCCAAUCAAACCGGGAGAUAGCUGGUUCUCCCCGAAAGCUAUUUAGGUAGCGCCUCGUGAAUUCAUCUCCGGGGGUAGAGCACUGUUUCGGCUAGGGGGCCAUCCCGGCUUACCAACCCGAUGCAAACUACGAAUACCGGAGAAUGUUAUCACGGGAGACACACGGCGGGUGCUAACGUCCGUCGUGAAGAGGGAAACAACCCAGACCGCCAGCUAAGGUCCCAAAGUCAUGGUUAAGUGGGAAACGAUGUGGGAAGGCACAGACAGCCAGGAUGUUGGCUUAGAAGCAGCCAUCAUUUAAAGAAAGCGUAAUAGCUCACUGGUCGAGUCGGCCUGCGCGGAAGAUGUAACGGGGCUAAACCAUGCACCGAAGCUGCGGCAGCGACACUAAGUGUUGUUGGGUAGGGGAGCGUUCUGUAAGCCUGCGAAGGUGUGCUGUGAGGCAUGCUGGAGGUAUCAGAAGUGCGAAUGCUGACAUAAGUAACGAUAAAGCGGGUGAAAAGCCCGCUCGCCGGAAGACCAAGGGUUCCUGUCCAACGUUAAUCGGGGCAGGGUGAGUCGACCCCUAAGGCGAGGCCGAAAGGCGUAGUCGAUGGGAAACAGGUUAAUAUUCCUGUACUUGGUGUUACUGCGAAGGGGGGACGGAGAAGGCUAUGUUAGCCGGGCGACGGUUGUCCCGGUUUAAGCAUGUAGGCUGGUUAUCCAGGCAAAUCCGGAUAAUCAAGGCUGAGGUGUGAUGACGAGUCACUACGGUGAUGAAGUAACAAAUGCCCUGCUUCCAGGAAAAGCCUCUAAGCAUCAGGUAACACGAAAUCGUACCCCAAACCGACACAGGUGGUCAGGUAGAGAAUACCAAGGCGCUUGAGAGAACUCGGGUGAAGGAACUAGGCAAAAUGGUGCCGUAACUUCGGGAGAAGGCACGCUGAUAUGUAGGUGAAGCCCCUGCGGGCGGAGCUGAAAUCAGUCGAAGAUACCAGCUGGCUGCAACUGUUUAUUAAAAACACAGCACUGUGCAAACACGAAAGUGGACGUAUACGGUGUGACGCCUGCCCGGUGCCGGAAGGUUAAUUGAUGGGGUUAUCCGUAAGGAGAAGCUCUUGAUCGAAGCCCCGGUAAACGGCGGCCGUAACUAUAACGGUCCUAAGGUAGCGAAAUUCCUUGUCGGGUAAGUUCCGACCUGCACGAAUGGCGUAAUGAUGGCCAGGCUGUCUCCACCCGAGACUCAGUGAAAUUGAACUCGCUGUGAAGAUGCAGUGUACCCGCGGCAAGACGGAAAGACCCCGUGAACCUUUACUAUAGCUUGACACUGAACAUUGAGCCUUGAUGUGUAGGAUAGGUGGGAGGCUUUGAAGCGUGGACGCCAGUCUGCGUGGAGCCAACCUUGAAAUACCACCCUUUAAUGUUUGAUGUUCUAACGUGGACCCGUAAUCCGGGUUGCGGACAGUGUCUGGUGGGUAGUUUGACUGGGGCGGUCUCCUCCCAAAGAGUAACGGAGGAGCACGAAGGUUGGCUAAUCCUGGUCGGACAUCAGGAGGUUAGUGCAAUGGCAUAAGCCAGCUUGACUGCGAGCGUGACGGCGCGAGCAGGUGCGAAAGCAGGUCAUAGUGAUCCGGUGGUUCUGAAUGGAAGGGCCAUCGCUCAACGGAUAAAAGGUACUCCGGGGAUAACAGGCUGAUACCGCCCAAGAGUUCAUAUCGACGGCGGUGUUUGGCACCUCGAUGUCGGCUCAUCACAUCCUGGGGCUGAAGUAGGUCCCAAGGGUAUGGCUGUUCGCCAUUUAAAGUGGUACGCGAGCUGGGUUUAGAACGUCGUGAGACAGUUCGGUCCCUAUCUGCCGUGGGCGCUGGAGAAUUGAGGGGGGCUGCUCCUAGUACGAGAGGACCGGAGUGGACGCAUCACUGGUGUUCGGGUUGUCAUGCCAAUGGCACUGCCCGGUAGCUACAUGCGGAAGAGAUAAGUGCUGAAAGCAUCUAAGCACGAAACUUGCCCCGAGAUGAGUUCUCCCCUGGACUUUAAGUCCACUAAAGGAACGUUGAAGACGACGACGUUGAUAGGCCGGGUGUGUAAGCGCAGCGAUGCGUUGAGCUAACCGGUACUAAUGAACCGUGAGGCUUAACCUUACAACGCCGAAG